GCCUCAGUGGUGUAGUGGUAGAGCACGCGUCCCCGCUGUGGAUAAAAGACGGGUUUGAUUCCCGUCUGAGGCC